rnacentral:rRNA from 2 species
UACAGAGGGUGCAAGCGUUGUUCGGAAUUAUUGGGCGUAAAGGGCGCGUAGGCGGUGCGGUAAGUCUUUUGUGAAAUCUCCGGGCUCAACUCGGAGUCUGCAGGAGAAACUGCCGUGCUUGAGUAUGGGAGAGGUGAGUGGAAUUCCUGGUGUAGCGGUGAAAUGCGUAGAUAUCAGGAGGAACACCUGUGGCGAAAGCGGCUCACUGGACCAUUACUGACGCUGAUGCGCGAAAGCUAGGGGAGCAAACAGG